CGCUAAGAAGAAGCAGGCGCGCGGAGGAUGCCUAGGCGUCCAGUGCCGAUGAAGGACGUGGUACACCACGAAAGGCUCCGGUCAGGCGUGUGCAGCCGCAAGCAGCCGGAGAUAUCCGAAUGGGGAAACCCGCCCGUAAGGGCACGCGAAAGCGAGGCAAGUGGGUGAACUGAAACAUCUCAGUAGCCCGAGGAAAAGAGAGGAUUCCGCUAGUAGUGGCGAGCGAACGCGGAGCAGCCCAAACCGCAGGACACGUCCUGCGGGGUAGAAGGACUUCCGGAAGCAGCGUGGAACGAAGCCGAACGGUCUGGGAAGGCCGACGAGACAGGGUGAGAGUCCCGUAGGCGCAGGGAAGCGAUGUGGGAAGGAUCCUGAGUAGCCCAGGGCACGCUAACCCGGGGUGAAACAGGGGGGACCACCCUCCAAGGCUAAAUACACUGGAUGACCGAUAGCGCAAGAGUACCGUGAGGGAAAGGUGAAAAGAACCCCGGCGAGGGGAGUGAAAGAGACCCUGAAACCGCGCGCUGACAACCGGUCAGAGCCUGCGAAAGCGGGUGAUGGCGUGCCUUUUGGAGCAUGAGCCGGCGAGUCAAUAGCAGUGGCAAGCCUAAGGGAGAGACACCCGGAGGCGAAGCGAAAGCGAGUCUGAAGAGGGCGAGGAGUGGCUGUUAUUGGACACGAAACCAGGCGAGCUAACCAUGAGCAGGAUGAAAGGCCGGUGACACGGCUGGGAGGUCCGAACUCACGUGUAUUGCAAAACACGGGGAUGACUUGUGGUUAGGGGUGAAAUGCCAAACGAGCUUGGAGAUAGCUUGUUCUCUCCGAAAUAACUUUAGGGUUAGCGUCCUGCGGAAAAACUCUGGGAGGUAGAGCACUGAUUGGGCUAGGGGCCAGUGAGGUUACCGAACCCAGUCAAACUCCGAAUGCCGAGAGGGGAGCAGGGCAGUCGGGCCGUGGGAGAUGAGUUUCACGGUCGAGAGGGGAAGAACCCAGACCCGCGACUAAGGUUCUGAAGUCUGCGCUGAGUGGGAAACGAUGUGGUCAUGUCGAGACAGCCAGGAGGUUGGCUUAGAAGCAGCCACCCUUGAAAGAGUGCGUAACAGCUCACUGGUCGAACGUGACUGCGCGGAAAAUGGAACGGAGCUGAAGCGCAGCACCGAAGUCGGGGAUAAGCCGAAAGGCUUAUGGUAGGAGAGCGUCCCCACAGCGGCGAAGGCAGGUCGGCGAGAUCUGUUGGAGUGGUGGGGAGUGAGAAUGCCGGCAUGAGUAGCGAAAGCAGGGUGAGAACCCCUGCCGCCGAACGUCUAAGGGUUCCGACGGAAGGUCAGUCCGCGUCGGGUAAGUCGGGCCUAAGCAGCAGCCGGGAGGCGAAUGCGAUGGACAACCGGUCAAGAUUCCGGUACCGAUGAAUGGAGCGACGCUGCGCGCUGCGGGAAGGUUCAGCCUCCGGAUGGAAGAGGAGGUGGCAAGCGGUUAACGGCCGUGAUGCCGGGGAGGAAUCCUGGAAGUGAACUGGACCUGGAGCCAAGAAAAGGCAGCGAAGCGGAGAAGUUUAUCGCCCGUACCCCAAACCGACACAGGUAGACGAGAUGAGAAAUCACAGGCGAGCGAGAGAAACCUCGUUAAGGAACUCGGCAAAAAGGUCCCGUACCUUCGGAAGAAGGGACGCUGGGUAAAACCAGCCGCAGAGAAGUGGCUCUACCGACUGUUUACCAAAAACACAGGUCUGUGCAAACGCGAAAGCGGACGUAUACGGGCUGACGCCUGCCCAGUGCCGGAAGGUUAAGAGGAGAGGUGCAAGCCUUGAAUUGAAGCCCCGGUGAACGGCGGCCGUAACUAUAACGGUCCUAAGGUAGCGAAAUUCCUUGUCGGGUAAGUUCCGACCCGCACGAAAGGCGUAACGAGUGGAGCACUGUCUCAACGAGGUACUCGGCGAAAUUGAAGUACGUGUGAAGAUGCGCGUUACCCGCAGUUGGACAAAAAGACCCCGUGGAGCUUUACUGUAGCCUGUCAUUGCGUUAGGGCGAUGUUUGUGUAGGAUAGCUGGGAGGCGGAGAAGCGGGGACGUCAGUUUCCGUGGAGCCAACGGUGAAAUACCAGCCUGACAUUGCUUUGACCCUAACUGAAGAAGGACAGUGGCAGGUGGGCAGUUUGACUGGGGCGGUCGCCUCCUAAAAGGUAUCGGAGGCGUUCAAAGGUGGGCUCAGGCUGAAUGGAAACCAGCCGCAGAGUGCAAAGGCAGAAGCCCGCUUGACUGCGAGGGAGACAGCCCGAGCAGAGUGGAAACACGGACUUAGUGAUCCUACGGUUCGGCGUGGAACGACCGUAGCUUACCGGAUAAAAGCUACCCCGGGGAUAACAGGCUGAUCUUGCCCAAGAGUUCACAUCGACGGCAAGGUUUGGCACCUCGAUGUCGGCUCAUCGCAUCCUGGGGCUGGAGUAGGUCCCAAGGGUUGGGCUGUUCGCCCAUUAAAGCGGUACGCGAGCUGGGUUCAGACCGGCGUGAGCCAGGUCGGUCCCUAUCUGCUGUGGGCGUUCCAGAUUUGAGCGGAGUCAACAUUAGUACGAGAGGACUGUGUUGGACCAACCCCUGGUGAUCCAGUUGCACCGCUCGGUGCACCGCUGGGUAGCUACGUUGGGCAGGGAUAAACGCUGAAAGCAUCUAAGCGUGAAGCCCCCCGCAAGAUGAGAUCUGGUUCCGCAAGGGUGAGACCCCUGGUAGACCACCAGGUUGAUAGGCCGUAGAUGCACGGGCUGAAAGGCCCUCAGUCGAACGGUACUAACGGUCGAACGUGAUCGCACC
rnacentral:rRNA from 1 species